rnacentral:rRNA from 1 species
AUUGAACGCUGGCGGCAUGCUUUACACAUGCAAGUCGAACGGUAACAGGGUGCUUGCACCGCUGACGAGUGGCGAACGGGUGAGUAAUGCGUCGGAACGCACCGAGUAAUGGGGGAUAACGCAGCGAAAGCUGUGCUAAUACCGCAUACGCUCUGAGGAGGAAAGCGGGGGACCUUCGGGCCUCGCGUUAUUCGAGCGGCCGACGUCUGAUUAGCUAGUAGGUGAGGUAAGAGCUCACCUAGGCGACGAUCAGUAGCGGGUCUGAGAGGAAGGUCCGCAACACUGGGACUGAGACACGGCCCAGACUCCUACGGGAGGCAGCAGUGGGGAAUUUUGGACAAUGGGCGCAAGCCUGAUCCAGCCAUGCCGCGUGUCUGAAGAAGGCCUUCGGGUUGUAAAGGACUUUUGUCAGGGAGGAAAUCCUUAGCGCUAAUACCGUUGAGGGAUGACAGUACCUGAAGAAUAAGCACCGGCUAACUACGUGCCAGCAGCCGCCGUAA